rnacentral:lncRNA from 1 species
AUGGCUAACAAAUGAAGGAUAAGGAUAACAAUCGUUCUUAAAGCAAUAGCAAGUAAAGUAAUGAAAUUGAAAUUUAGAAUUCACUUAAAUUGCAGAAAUCAGCUUUUAGACACGAAGGGAAAAUUCAAGCAAUAUUUAGGGCCGAAUUCUAUGUUUUGGACCAUUUCUUCAACAAGCAGCACUUUAAAACUCUUUUUCGCAUAUUUUUCAACUCCUUUUUUUUUUUUUUUUCAACUCUUCUUUUCUUUUCAACAAGCAUAAUAACUCACACUUCCCCCACACUUGUUUUCUGCCAUACAUUAAUCAAAAGAAAUUCAAUUUGAAUCAUGCUUUACUAUGCUUCAACAACAAGGGUAUGGAUGGUCCUAAACUAGGCUAGGUAAGGAUAAUGUGGUUUAACAAAGAAUGUAGGCUAUUAAGGCUCAAUGGGGUUAACUUAAACAUAUAACGAUAUGGGAUACAUGGCAGUUUGGCUUUGGUGGUGGUAA